CUACCAUGGCAGUCACGGGUAACGGAGAAUUAGGGUUCGAUUCCGGAGAGGGAGCCUGAGAAACGGCUACCACAUCUAAGGAAGGCAGCAGGCGCGUAAAUUACCCAAUCCCGAUUCGGGGAGGUAGUGACAAGAAAUAGCAACUCGGGCGGUUAUCCGUUACGGGAUUGCAAUGAGAUAAGUCCAAAUCCGUAAACGAUUAACAAUUGGAGGGCAAGUCUGGUGCCAGCAGCCGCGGUAAUUCCAGCUCCAAUAGCGUAUACUUAAGUUGUUGCAGUUAAAAAGCUCGUAGUUGAAAUUCGAAUUAGCUGAUAGAGGGCUUAGGCUAUCUAGCAGUUGGUUCUCCGUCUACAAUCCCUCUUGGGCUUCAGGGUUGCAGAGGGCUGAGUAGACAAUUUACCUUGAAAAAAUUAGAGUGUUCCAGGCAGGUUUUCGCCGGAAUACAUUAGCAUGGAAUAAUGGAAUAGGACUUAGGUCUUUUGUUGGUUUUAGGACUUGAGUAAUGAUUAAUAGGGACAGAUGGGGGCAUUAGUAUUUAAUUGUCAGAGGUGAAAUUCUUGGAUUUAUUAAAGACUAACUUAUGCGAAAGCAUUUGCCAAGGAUGUUUUCAUUAAUCAAGAACGAAAGUUAGGGGAUCA
rnacentral:rRNA from 1 species